rnacentral:rRNA from 1 species
AUUAAUUUAAUGGCUGCAGUAUUUUAACUGUACAAAGGUAGCAUAAUAAUUAGUUCCUUAAUUAGGGACUGGAAUGAAGGAUUGAACGAGAUAAAAAUUGUCUCUUUUUAAAUUUUAUAAUUUUAUUUUUAAGUUAAAAAGCUUAAAUAUUAUUAAAAGACGAGAAGACCCUAUAGAGUUUUAUAAUUAUAAUGUAAAUAAAUUUUAGUAAUAAAAUUUUAUUUAUACAAUGAUUAUUUGGUUGGGGUGAUUUUAAAAUUUAAAAAACUUUAAUAUAAUUUACAUUAAUAUAUGAAUAAUUGAUCCAUAAUUUAUGAUUAAAAGAUUAAAUUACCUUAGGGAUAACAGCGUAAUUUUUUUAAAGAGUUCUAAUCGAAAAAAAAGAUUGCGACCUCGAUGUUGGAUUAAAAUAAAUUUUUGGUGUAGAAGCUGAAAUAUUAGGUCUGUUCGACCUUUAAAAUUUUACAUGAUCUGAGUUUAAAUCGGCGUGAGCCAGGUUGGUUUCUAUCUUUAAUUAAAUAAAAUAUUUUAGUACGAAAGGACCAUAUAUUUAUAAUGUUUAUUUAUCUAUGAUUAAUAUUA